rnacentral:lncRNA from 1 species
CAAUUUCUCUAUCUGACCAGUCAGUUCGGCUACUGUCUCCUCCUCCUUUGCCUUCCGAGAAGUUGAAAAUGCAUCUCAUUGCUCCUACCACCCAGCUAAUUUACCAUGAGCAUCUACUAACUGCUGCUUGACUCACCUCAACUCAGAACUGGAUGAUCUCAAGGCUUCGUCUGUCUUCCUGAAGAAGUCCGCCUCCACAGCAAAUCUCCUCUUUGCUUCCUUUUGCACUCUGACG